rnacentral:rRNA from 1 species
CCAAUAGCGUAUGUUAAAGUUGUUGCAGUUAAAAAGCUCGUAGUUGAAUUUUGGGUCUGGGCGGGUGGUCCACCUUUCGGUGAGCACUGUUCCGACGUCGGGCCUAUCCUUCUGGUGAGACGGCAUGCCCUUCGCUGGGUGUGUCGGGGAACCAGGACCAUUACCUUGAAAAAAUUAGAGUGUUCAAAGCAGGCAUUUGCUCGAAUACAUUAGCAUGGAAUAAUGAAAUAGGACGCGUGGUACUAUUUUGUUGGUUUCUAGGACCGCCGUAAUGAUUAAUAGGGAUAGUUGGGGGCAUUAGUAUUCAAUUGUCAGAGGUGAAAUUCUUGGAUUUAUUGAAGACUAACUUCUGCGAAAGCAUUUGCCAAGGAUGUUUUCAUUAAUCAAGAACGAAAGUUAGGGGAUCGAAGACGAUCAGAUACCGUCGUAGUCUUAACCAUAAACUAUGCCGACUAGGAAUCGGGCGAUGUUAUUUUAACGACACGCCCGGCGCCUUAUG